rnacentral:tRNA from 1 species
AGUGUAUGUAAUUUAAAAAAAAUAUCAAGCUGUGGCCCUGACAUUAGGAAUCCCCCUCAUACAC